rnacentral:rRNA from 1 species
AACGAACGCUGGCGGCAGGCUUAACGCAUGCAAGUCGAGCGCCCCGCAAGGGGAGCGGCAGACGGGUGAGUAACGCGUGGGAAUCUGCCCAUCUCUACGGAAUAACGCAUGGAAACGUGUGCUAAUACCGUAUACGUCCUUCGGGAGAAAGAUUUAUCGGAGAUGGAUGAGCCCGCGUUGGAUUGGCUAGUUGGUGGGGUAAAGGCCUACCAAGGCGACGAUCCAUAGCUGGUCUGAGAGGAUGAUCAGCCACACUGGGACUGAGACACGGCCCAGACUCCUACGGGAGGCAGCAGUGGGGAAUAUUGGACAAUGGGCGCAAGCCUGAUCCAGCCAUGCCGCGUGAGUGAUGAAGGCCCUAGGGUUGUAAAGCUCUUUCACCGGUGAAGAUAAUGACGGUAACCGGAGAAGAAGCCCCGGCUAACUUCGUGCCAGCAGCCGCGGUAAGAC